rnacentral:rRNA from 1 species
UGGCGGACGGGUGAGUAACACGUGAGAAUUUGCCUUUAGGAGGGGGAUAACAGAGUGAAAACGCUGCUAAUACCCCAUAUGCUUUCGAGUGAAAUGGAUUUAUUCGCCUAAAGAGAAGCUCGCGGCUGAUUAGCUUGUUGGUAAGGUAAUGGCUUACCAAGGCGACGAUCAGUAUCUGGUUUGAGAGGGCGAUCAGACACACUGGAACUGAGACACGGUCCAGACUCCUACGGGAGGCAGCAGUGGGGAAUUUUCCGCAAUGGGCGAAAGCCUGACGGAGCAAUACCGCGUGAGGGAUGACUGCCUAUGGGUUGUAAACCUCUUUUCUCAGGGAGGAAAUCAAUGACGUUACCUGAGGAAUAAGCAUCGGCUAACUCCGUGCCAGCAGCCGCGGUAAGACGGAGGAUGCAAGUGUUAUCCGGAAUCACUGGGCGUAAAGCGUCUGUAGGUGGCUUAACAAGUCAACUGUUAAAUCUUGAAGCUCAACUUCGAAAUCGCAGUCGAAACUGUUAGGCUA